rnacentral:rRNA from 1 species
UUUAUCGGAGAGUUUGAUCCUGGCUCAGGACGAACGCUGGCGGCGUGCCUAAUACAUGCAAGUCGAGCGGACAGAUGGGAGCUUGCUCCCUGAUGUUAGCGGCGGACGGGUGAGUAACACGUGGGUAACCUGCCUGUAAGACUGGGAUAACUCCGGGAAACCGGGGCUAAUACCGGAUGCUUGUUUGAACCGCAUGGUUCAAACAUAAAAGGUGGCUUCGGCUACCACUUACAGAUGGACCCGCGGCGCAUUAGCUAGUUGGUGAGGUAACGGCUCACCAAGGCGACGAUGCGUAGCCGACCUGAGAGGGUGAUCGGCCACACUGGG